rnacentral:rRNA from 1 species
GACGAACGCUGGCGGCGUGCCUAACACAUGCAAGUCGAACGGGGUAAUGACUUCGGUUAUUACUUAGUGGCGAACGGGUGAGUAACGCGUGAGAAACCUGCCUUUCAGUGGGGGACGAACAGUUGGAAACGACUGCUAAUACCGCAUAAUGUAUCGAUGGGGCGAUCCUGUUGAUACCAAAGAUUUAUUGCUGAAAGAUGGUCUCGCGUCUGAUUAGCUAGUUGGUGAGGUAACGGCUCACCAAGGCGACGAUCAGUAGCCGGUCUGAGAGGAUGAACGGCCACAUUGGGACUGAGAUACGGCCCAG